rnacentral:rRNA from 1 species
UCCGGCCUACGGGGGGUAGCAGUAGGGAAUCUUCCACAAUGGACGAAAGUCUGAUGGAGCAACGCCGCGUGAGUGAAGAAGGGUUUCGGCUCGUAAAGCUCUGUUGGUAGUGAAGAAAGAUAGAGGUAGUAACUGGCCUUUAUUUGACGGUAAUUACUUAGAAAGUCACGGCUAACUACGUGCCAGCAGCCGCGGUAAUACGUAGGUGGCAAGCGUUGUCCGGAUUUAUUGGGCGUAAAGCGAGCGCAGGCGGGUCAAUAAGUCUGAUGUGAAAACCUUUGGCUCAACCGGAGAAUUGCAU